rnacentral:rRNA from 1 species
CCUACGGGUGGCUGCAGUGGGGAAUAUUGGACAAUGGGCGAAAGCCUGAUCCAGCCAUGCCGCGUGUGUGAAGAAGGCCUUCGGGUUGUAAAGCACUUUCAGUGGGGAAGAAGGCCUUGGGGCUAAUACCCUCGAGGAAGGACAUCACCCACAGAAGAAGCACCGGCUAACUCCGUGCCAGCAGCCGCGGUAAUACGGAGGGUGCGAGCGUUAAUCGGAAUUACUGGGCGUAAAGCGCGCGUAGGCGGUCUGAUAAGCCGGUUGUGAAAGCCCCGGGCUCAACCUGGGAACGGCAUCCGGAACUGUCAGGCUAGAGUGCAGGAGAGGAAGGUAGAAUUCCCGGUGUAGCGGUGAAAUGCGUAGAGAUCGGGAGGAAUACCAGUGGCGAAGGCGGCCUUCUGGACUGACACUGACGCUGAGGUGCGAAAGCGUGGGUAGCAAACAGGAUUAGAUACCCUAGUAGUC